AUGAUUGUCACUCUCUGGGCAAUCUGGUUUGCACGGCGAAAAGUUAUACAUGAAGGAAUUUUCCAGACCCCAUUCGCAACCCAUUGCUUCAUCGCGAGUUACCUGACAGAGCUUCAGUUCCUGGAAAAGCCGGAGAAAGAGAAGAGUGCACCGGCUCCUAGAUCGGCGGAGUGGAUCCCUCCUCCAGAAUAUCACAUGAAGGUGAACGUUGAUGCGGCGGUAGCGAGACAUGGGGGUUUUGGGACAGUAGCGGCGAUAUGUCGGGAUGGCAACGGGAUGUAUCAAGGGGCAUCGUCUAUUCUGUUCAAAAACAUUGAUGACCCGAAAAUUUUGGAGACCUUGGCAAUACGCGAGGCUUUGGCCUUCCCUGAUGAUCUCUACCUCCACAGAAUUUCAGUUGCGUCGGACUGCAAGGUGGCUGUCGAAGCGAUCAAUAAGGGUACGUCUACACAAUACGGGGCCGUGGUACAUGAAAUCAUAGAUCGUUCUAGAGUUUUUUCUUCUUGUUUGAAUAAUCAUGAGUAUAUGACCUCGAGUGUCGAGGCUCACAAACUUGCAAAGCAUGCGUCAUGUCUAGUUAGGCCACCCAGGAAAUUUGGAUUUCAUCCCUGUAAACCUUGUGACGGGUGA
rnacentral:rRNA from 1 species